rnacentral:rRNA from 1 species
AGUGAACGCUGGCGGUAGGCCUAACACAUGCGAGUCGAACGGCAGCACAGUAAGAGCUUGCUCUUACGGGUGGCGAGUGGCGGACGGGUGAGGAAUACAUCGGAAUCUACUUUUUCGUGGGGGAUAGCGUAGGGAAACUUACGCUAAUACCGCAUACGACCUACGGGUGGAAGCAGGGGAUCUUCGGACCUUGCGCGAUUGAAUGAGCCGAUGUCGGAUUAGCUAGUUGGCGGGGUAAAGGCCCACCAAGGCGACGAUCCGUAGCUGGUCUGAGAGGAUGAUCAGCCACACUGGAACUGAGACACGGUCCAGACUCCUACGGGAGGCAGCAGUGGGGAAUAUUGGACAAUGGGCGCAAGCCUGAUCCAGCCAUACCGCGUGGGUGAAGAAGGCCUUCGGGUUGUAAAGCCCUUUUGUUGGGAAAGAAAAGCAGCAGGUUAAUACCCCGCUGUUCUGACGGUACCCAAAGAAUAAGCACCGGCUAACUUCGUG